UACAGAGGGUGCAAGCGUUGCUCGGAUUUACUGGGCGUAAAGCGUACGCAGACGGUGAGAAAGGUCGGAUGUGAAAGCCCCGGGCUCAACCCGGGAACUGCAUCCGAAACCAUCUCGCUCGAGUGUGGGAGAGGGAAGCGGAAUUCCUGGUGUAGAGGUGAAAUUCGUAGAUAUCAGGAGGAACACCGGCGGCGAAGGCGGCUUCCUGGCCCAUUACUCGAC
rnacentral:rRNA from 1 species